rnacentral:rRNA from 1 species
CCUACGGGUGGCAGCAGUGGGGGAUAUUGCACAAUGGGGGGAACCCUGAUGCAGCGACGCCGCGUGGGUGAAGAAGCGCCUCGGCGCGUAAAGCCCUGUCAGCAGGGAAGAAAAUGACGGUACCUGAAGACGAAGCCCCGGCUACCUACGUGCCAGCAGCCGCGGUAAUACGUAGGGGGCAGGCGUUAUCCGGAUGGACUGGGUGUAAAGGGGGCGCAGACGGCGAUGCAAGCCAGGAGUGAAAGCCCGGGGCACAACCCCGGGACUGCUCUUGGAACUGCGUGGCUGGAGUGCGGGAGGGGCAGGCGGAAUGCCUGGUGUAGCGGUGAAAUGCGGAGAUAUCGGGAGGAACACCGGUGGCGAAGGCGGCCUGCUGGACUGCAACUGACGUUGAGGCCCGAAAGCGUGGGGAGCAAACAGGAUUAGAUACCCUUGUAGUC